GAUGAACGCUGGCGGCGUGCCUAAUACAUGCAAGUCGAGCGAACGGACGAGAAGCUUGCUUCUCUGAUGUUAGCGGCGGACGGAAGAGUCACACAUGGAUAAACUACCUAUAAGACUGGGAUAACUUCGGGAAACCGGAGCUACUACCGGAUAAUAUUUUGAACUGCAUGGUUCAAAAGUGAAAGUAGGUAUUGCUGUCAGUUAUAGAUGAACCCGGGCUGCAUUAGCUAGUUGGUAAGGUAACGGCUUACCAAGGCAACGAUGCAUAGCCGACCUGAGAGGGUGGACGGCUACCCGGUAACUGAGACACGGCCCACACUCCGACGGUGAGCAGCAGUAGGGACUCCUCCGCGAUGGACGAAAGCCUGACGGAGCAACGUCGCGGGAGUGAUGAAGGUCUUCUGAUCGUAAAACUCUGUUAUUAGGAAAGAACAUAUGUUUAAGUAACUGUGCUCAUCAUGACGGUACCUAAUCAGAAAGCCACGGCUAACUACGUG
rnacentral:rRNA from 1 species